AUGGGGCUUAAAGGAGAUGUACAGUUGGAUGUCAUCUGCAUAAAGAUGGUAGGAGAUUCCUUUGAAGGAGCUCAGGAUGUGCUGAAGAGGAAGCAGAUAGAGGAGGAAGAGCAGAGGCCCCAGCACAGAACCUUGUGGGACACCAUGGGUAAGNNNNNNNNNNNNNNNNNNNNNNNNNNNNNNNNNNNNNNNNNNNNNNNNNNNNNNNNNNNNNNNNNNNNNNNNNNNNAUAAACAAGGACCCACCAUCACACAGUUUAUAAACAAGGACCCACCAUCACAGUUUAUAAACUACAAGGACCCACCAUCACACAGUUUAUAAACAAGGACCCACCAUCACACAGUUCAUAAACAAGGACCCACCAUCACAUAGUUAGUCCAGAGGAGUAAGGAGAGGGGAAGGAGUCCAUGAAGCUGGGGUUGUUUUCAUUUAGAAACAGUUGUUAAAGGUUUUCAUGUUGAACAAGUUUGUCCAACACUACGAUGAUAAAAUACAAACAGUUGUUUGUAUUACGAUAUUUAUCAAAUAUGAUUAUUUAUUUGGAAAAUAAUAUAUAUUUAAUUAAAUAUGCCUUUUCGAUAAUUAUUCAACAUUCAAAAGUAUUAAAAAAGGGUACUGUUAAGUACCAGUAUCGUUUUGUAGGUACCGGGAUUUGGUACCGUAUUGAUUCAAAUGUCAACGGAACCCAUCCCUGGUCUCAGUCUUCGAAUGUUUCCUCAUACUCCAGUAAACCCUGAGUCAUCCUGAUAUUUUUCUGUCUGCAGAUGAAGAAGGAACGGGAGCUGAAGAUGAGGAAGGCUGCUGGAAAUGAAGAAGAGGAGGGUGGAGAGUUUGAUGACCUGGUGUCUGCCCUGCGCUCAGGGGAAGUGUUUGACCAGGGUCUGUCCAAAAUGAACCACAGAAAGCCAAGGAAACACAAAGAGGUUGUGAGCGGCCGAGAAAGACCAGUCUCUAAACUGAAUAUGGACGAGGAUGCUUGUGAACCAUAGCAGCUCACUGGGAAUGAAUUGUGUCCACCAUGUUUAUCAUAUAAACACAAUUUAAAACUCAUCCAGAAGCUUCAGGCAGGGACCUAAUCCGCUUAAACAGGUUUCUGCUGGUCACCCAUAGCAGCCUGCGCGCCCGUCUCCAGUAAAGACCUGCCUUUGAACUCCACAAUAACAUCUGAAUUCCUACUGGGAGGCUGAUAAUUAUUGGAUCAGGGCCGUAACCACCUAUACGUUUUAUAAGUGAGGCCUCCUCACCAUCUCUUCAGCUAUUCAGGGUCAAACAAUGACUUGUAAUGAACUGGCGUUAGGCCGUGAGCUCAAGCCUAGGAAUCCUAAUCACACAUGGGCUGCUAUCCUGCAUGUUUUAGUUGUUUCCCUGCUUCUGCACAGCUUCAUAAGAUUUUGAACAGUUGAUUCUAGCUUUGAAGCAGUGUGUGUGUGUGUGUGUGUGUGUAUGUGUAUGUGUAUGUGUGUGUGUGUGUGUGUGUGUGUGUGUGUGGCAUCUUCAAAGCAUGUUGACGACCCCUUGCUGUGGGACAAUAAACCAGACUGAGGCAGUUUACCAGCACUCACACACCUGGGAUUCCCACCUGACAUCGAUGGGCGUGGCUAACCAACAAGGCCUAAGUGGCAGGACACACCUACAGGGAAACAGCUAAUGAAGACAUGUAACACCUGGUGACAGCGACUGGAAUAUGUCCUGUUAAAAGUAAUGUUUUUAUUGUCUAAACAGAAAAUGUAGAAAUUUUGGCUGGCGGGAUACACAUGCCCUUUACAAUUCACGUAUGGUGAGAAUUUGAAACACUGAGCAAGGAAUCAAUUCUAUUUGAAAAACCAGUUCCUCUAAUGGUGUAUGGUUUGAAGUCAAAUGUGCAAAUAAACACUGUAGCACAAUAUUGAUUUUUGAGAUGCUACAUUCAUAUGAUGACUGGUCGAUGCUGCUGCACGUGGCCAUGGAGAGUGCA
ensembl:lncRNA